CUUCUGUGAUGACUAUAUCUUUGUGCCACGUGUCUGGGCCACUGAUUCUUAUGAUGGAUUGAGGAACUGAGAGG
ensembl:snoRNA